rnacentral:rRNA from 1 species
GACGAACGCUGGCGGCGUGCUUAACACAUGCAAGUCGAACGGAAAGGCCCUGCUUGCAGGGUACUCGAGUGGCGAACGGGUGAGUAACACGUGGGUGAACUGCCCUGCACUUCGGGAUAAGCCUGGGAAACUGGGUCUAAUACAGGAUAGGAGCCAUCCUUCUUGUGAUGGUUGGAAAGUUUUUUCGGUGUAGGGUGAGCUCGCGGCCUAUCAGCUUGCUGGUGGGGUAAUGGCCGACCAAGGCGGCCACGGGUAGCCGGCCUGGGGGGGUGGACGGGCACAAUGGGGCUGAGAUACGGCCCAGACUUCUACGGGGGGCAGCAGGGGGGAAUAUUGCACAAUGGGCGCGAGCCUGGUGCAGCGACGCCGCGGGGCGGAUGACGGCCCUCGGGUUGUAAACUCCUUUCGCUAGGGACGAAGCUUUGUGUGACGGUACCUAGAAAAGAAGCACCGGCUAACUACGUG